UGGGGAAUUUUGGACAAUGGGCGAAAGCCUGAUCCAGCAAUGCCGCGUGUGUGAAGAAGGCCUUCGGGUUGUAAAGCACUUUUGUCCGGAAAGAAAUCCUUGGCUCUAAUACAGUCGGGGGAUGACGGUACCGGAAGAAUAAGCACCGGCUAACUACGUGCCAGCAGCCGCGGUAAUACGUAGGGUGCAAGCGUUAAUCGGAAUUACUGGGCGUAAAGCGUGCGCAGGCGGUUUGCUAAGACCGAUGUGAAAUCCCCGGGCUCAACCUGGGAACUGCAUUGGUGACUGGCAGGCUAGAGUAUGGCAGAGGGGGGUAGAAUUCCACGUGUAGCAGUGAAAUGCGUAGAGAUGUGGAGGAAUACCGAUGGCGAAGGCAGCCCCUGGCAAGUACUGACGCUCAUGCACG
rnacentral:rRNA from 1 species